GACGAACGCUGGCGGCGUGCCUAAUACAUGCGAGUCGAGCGAAGUUUUUCUGGUGCUUGCACUAGAAAAACUUAGCGGCGAACGGGUGAGUAACACGUAAAGAACCUGCCUCAUAGACUGGGACAACUAUUGGAAACGAUAGCUAAUACCGGCUAACAGUCUUUCUCUCAUGAGAGAUAUUUAAAAGUUGGUUAUGCUAACACUAUGAGAUGGCUUUGCGGUGCAUUAGCUAGUUGGUGGGGUAAAGGCCCACCAAGGCGACGAUGCAUAGCCGACCUGAGAGGGUGAUCGGCCACACUGGAACUGAGACACGGCCCAGACUCCUACGGGAGGCAGCAGUAGGGAAUCUUGCGCAAUGGGCGAAAGCCUGACGGAGCCACGCCGCGUGAGUGAAGAAGGAUUUCGGUUCGUAAAGCUCUGUUGUUAGGGAAGAAUGGCUGUGGAGUAACUAUCCAUGUAAGUGACGGUACCUAACCAGAAAGCCACGGCUAACUACGUG
rnacentral:rRNA from 1 species